CCUACGGGUGGCUGCAGUGGGGAAUAUUGCACAAUGGGCGCAAGCCUGAUGCAGCCAUGCCGCGUGUGUGAAGAAGGCCUUCGGGUUGUAAAGCACUUUCAGCGGGGAGGAAGGCGGUGAGGUUAAUAACCUCAUCGAUUGACGUUACCCGCAGAAGAAGCACCGGCUAACUCCGUGCCAGCAGCCGCGGUAAUACGGAGGGUGCAAGCGUUAAUCGGAAUUACUGGGCGUAAAGCGCACGCAGGCGGUCUGUCAAGUCGGAUGUGAAAUCCCCGGGCUCAACCUGGGAACUGCAUUCGAAACUGGCGGGCUAGAGUCUUGUAGAGGGGGGUGGAAUUCCAGGUGUAGCGGUGAAAUGCGUAGAGAUCUGGAGGAAUACCGGUGGCGAAGGCGACCCCCUGGACAAAGACUGACGCUCAGGUGCGAAAGCGUGGGGAGCAAACAGGAUUAGAUACCCGUGUAGUC
rnacentral:rRNA from 1 species